CCCUUAGAUGUUCUGGGCCGCACGCGCGCUACACUGACGAAUGCAACGAGCUUAUAACCUUGGCCGAAAGGUCUGGGUAAUCUCCAAAUUUCGUCGUGAUGGGGAUAGAUUAUUGCAAUUAUUAAUCUUCAACGAGGAAUGCCUAGUAAGCGCAAGUCAUCAGCUUGCGUUGAUUACGUCCCUGCCCUUUGUACACACCGCCCGUCGCUCCUACCGAUUGAAUGGUCCGGUGAAGCGUUCGGACCGGUUACUUGGUUGGUUCGCUAACCUUGUGACUGGAAAGUCGAGUGAACCUUAUUGCUUAGAGGAAGGAGAAGUCGUAACA
rnacentral:rRNA from 1 species